UCGGGUCCGGGCGAAGCCGACCGCCCGCCCGCGUGUGAAGAAGGUCUCCGGACGUAAAGCACCCUAAGCCGGGAGGAAGGGCAUUAACCUAAUACGUUAGUGUUUUGACGUUACCGACAGAAUAAGCACCGGCUAACUCUGUGCCAGCAGCCGCGGUAAUACAGAGGGUGCAAGCGUUAAUCGGAAUUACUGGGCGUAAAGCGCGCGUAGGUGGUUUGUUAAGUUGGAUGUGAAAUCCCCGGGCUCAACCUGGGAACUGCAUUCAAAACUGACUGACUAGAGUAUGGUAGAGGGUGGUGGAAUUUCCUGUGUAGCGGUGGGGAGGCGGGAGAUAUAGGAAGGAACACCAGUGGCGAAGGCGACCACCUGGACUAAUACUGACACUGAGGUGCGAAAG
rnacentral:rRNA from 1 species